CGACCGGCGCACGGGUGAGUAACACGUAUCCAACCUGCCGUCUACUCUUGGACAGCCUUCUGAAAGGAAGAUUAAUACAAGAUGGCAUCAUGAGUCCGCAUGUUCACAUGAUUAAAGGUAUUCCGGUAGACGAUGGGGAUGCGUUCCAUUAGAUAGUAGGCGGGGUAACGGCCCACCUAGUCUUCGAUGGGUAGGGGGUUCUGAGAGGAAGGUCCCCCACAUUGGAACUGAGACACGGUCCAAACUCCUACGGGAGGCAGCAUG
rnacentral:rRNA from 1 species